rnacentral:rRNA from 1 species
AGCCCCCCUCAAGAUGAGAUUUCCCAAUUAGUAAGACCCCUUGAAGACGACGAGGUAGAUAGGUUGGAGGUGGAAGUGCAGCAAUGCAUGGAGCUGACCAAUACUAAUCGGUCGAGGGCUUAUCCAAAAACACCCCA